GAAAAUCGUGUUAGUCAAUCCUUCACCUAGACCCAGUUCCUAAAUAUUAUGGAAUGUAUGUAGCCACCUGUGCAUGUCUUAUGGUGGUGAAGGAAAAUCCCUUCUCAGGCCUGCCCAGGUUGCUCAUUUAGCUUGAGUUGAGCUCUCCUUCUCAGGCUUGCUUGGCAAUUGGUGCUGUUUUUAUAUAGGGAAAUAACCAACCUUCUUAAAAAGAAUGGGAACCUGGUGGAUUCCUUGUCUCAGCAGCCUCCCUGACGCGCUGGACUGUGAAUGUCACCCUUAAGCUGGGUGCACUUCCCCACGCUGCCUUUUUGGUUUCUUUAAUUGCGUCUGUGUUCUUGCACUGUCUGAUGGAAAAGAAACAGGUCUGCUCAGAUUAAACUGAAAGGGAUUGUGAGAAACAAGUCUCCUGAGAUAAUUUGGGGAUGAUAAUUAACAUCACUGGGAGCGUUCAAUUUCUGUAAGUCCUUUUUGGUCAGAAGGGAUCAAUUUUCCAGGAUCGAGAUAAAAACGGAGCCCCCCCUAAAUCAUUUCCUAUCAUUGUCCCAGAAGCCAAUAAACACAAGGAACCGUGACCAUUCUUUCCUCCUGGGGAUGGUAGAAUCGAAACCUGAAAGUUAAGUAAUAUACUUAGAUACUAUGGUGAUCAAGUUCUCCCGCAAUUGUAGGCACGAUCAAUGAAUAAUAAAUCAUCUCAUUUUUGAACAGCUUGAACUCUACCUUUCCAAAGCAGAGGGAGAGAAGUUUUAGAAAAGAUGGAUCUAAUUAUUUCUGCAGAAUCUUGGUGGUACCAUCCCAGCAGCGGGUCUGCAUUGCAAUGCAUCCCUUAGCAUCAGUGCUGUUGUGUGCCAGGCUGGAGACAACAGUUCAGCAGUAAAAAUGAAGUUGAACAAGAUCAUGAUGUUAAAUGACAGUGUUUUGGAAUCAGAUGGAAUACUUCGAUGGAGUUUGAGGUGGUUGUCCUGUAAAGCAUCUCAGGGAAGGAAGAAGACUUGUGGCUACCUGAGAGCAAAGGGACUGAACCAGCUUGAAGGAAGCCAAGACAAUCCAGAAGGGAAAGGCUACACCCUCCUUUGGCGAAUGAUUCUUUGGUGAAGUCUCACAGUACUAGAGAGAACUGGGAGGACACUGGGAGACAUUCAGACAAAGCAGCAACUCUUCUUGUUCUGCAGCUUUCUCCCCAAAGAGAGAGGGAAGAAAACAUACCUUCUUGUUCCCCAUCACCCUCUCCAGCAGAAUAAAAUGUGACUUCUUCCCUAAAUAAUUUACA
ensembl:lncRNA